GCGGACGUGGCGGAAUUGGUAGACGCGCAUGCUUGAGGGGCAUGUGGUAUAUACCGUGGGGGUUCAAGUCCCCCCGUUCGCACCA
rnacentral:tRNA from 1 species